ACGCUCGACACCUACGGGGGGCAGCAGUGGGGAAUAUUGCACAAUGGAGGAAACUCUGAUGCAGCGAUGCCGCGUGAGGGAAGAAGGUUUUCGGAUUGUAAACCUCUGUCUUUGGGGACGAUAAUGACGGUACCCAAGGAGGAAGCUCCGGCUAACUACGUGCCCGCAGCCGCGGUAAUCUGAGCGGGCUGGCAAGGC
rnacentral:rRNA from 1 species